GGCGCAGGCGGGAAGCUAAGUUGGAUGUGAAAUACCGGGGCUCGACUCCGGAGCUGCAUCCAAAACUGGUUUUCUUGAGUGGAGUAGAGGCAAGCGGAAUUCCGAGUGUAGCGGUGAAAUGCGUAGAUAUUCGGAGGAACACCAGUGGCGAAGGCGGCUUGCUGGGCUCUAACUGACGCUGAGGCCCGAAAGCGUGGGGAGCAAACA
rnacentral:rRNA from 1 species